rnacentral:tRNA from 1 species
UGAGGUGUAGCUCAGUGGAAGAGCACUUGCCUAGCUUUUGUGAGGCCCUGGGUUCGAUCCUCAGUACCACAA